GAUGAACGCUGGCGGCGUGCCUAAUACAUGCAAGUCGAGCGAACAGACGAGGAGCUUGCUCCUCUGACGUUAGCGGCGGACGGGUGAGUAACACGUGGAUAACCUACCUAUAAGACUGGGAUAACUUCGGGAAACCGGAGCUAAUACCGGAUAAUAUAUUGAACCGCAUGGUUCAAUAGUGAAAGACGGUUUUGCUGUCACUUAUAGAUGGAUCCGCGCCGCAUUAGCUAGUUGGUAAGGUAACGGCUUACCAAGGCAACGAUGCGUAGCCGACCUGAGAGGGUGAUUGGCCAGACUGGAACUGAGACACGGUCCAGACACCUGCGGGAAGCAGCAGUAGGGAAUCUUCCGCAAUGGGCGAAAGCCUGACGGAGCAACGCCGCGUGAGGGAUGAAGGUCUUCGGAUCGGAAAACUCUGUUAUUAGGGAAGAACAAAUGUGUAAGUAACUAUGCACGUCUUGACGGUACCUAAUCAGAAAGCCACGGCUAACUACGUG
rnacentral:rRNA from 1 species